rnacentral:lncRNA from 1 species
AUGUGGGCCUUGCCUGUUCUCUCCAAGCUGCCAAUGCCAGGAUUAGUAGCACUGAAAGCCAAGAUGAGACAAAACCUCAGGGUAGUGUAUGUUCCAAUCAGAAGGUGCCAUGUGGUUUUGAAGGAUCCAUUAGGGGAGCUGCCACGGAAUCGAUUCAGCCGCCUGCCAAACAUCUGGCACAACUGGGUCAUCUGGGAUGGAAAUAAACCUUUCCUCACGGGAGAGAGUGAAUGCCAGUUGAGACCUCACGAUAUAAAGACACGGCUGCUCACAAAUGUUCCACUGUGA